rnacentral:rRNA from 1 species
AUUGAACGCUGGCGGCAGGCCUAACACAUGCAAGUCGAGCGGAGCGGCGGACGGGUGAGUAAUGCCUAGGAAUCUGCCUGGUAGUGGGGGAUGACGUCCGGAAACGAGCGCUAAUACCGCAUACUAGCAGAUGAGCCUAGGUGGGAUUAGCUAGUUGGUGGGGUAACUGCCUACCAAGGCGACGAUCCGUACCUGGUCUGAGAGGAUGAUCAGUCACACUGGAACUGAGACACGGCCCAGACUCCUACGGGAGGCAGCAGUGGGGAAUAUUGGACAAUGGGCGAAAGCCUGAUCCAGCCAUGCCGCGUGUGUGAAGAAGGUCUUCGGAUUGUAAAGCACUUUAAGUUGGGAGGCGUUACCAACAGAAUAAGCACCGGCUAACUCCGUGCCAGCAGCCGCGGUAAUUC